rnacentral:lncRNA from 1 species
GAAUAAAUGCUUGGUGGUAAUUGAUUUGCCCUAAUGUUAAUGGGAUUGUUCCCACUCUCUUCCUAUGCAGAAGAAUGAUGGCCGAUUUACAGUCAUUCAGCUGGUGGGCAUGCUCCGAGGCAUUGGCUCGGGGAUGAAGUACUUAUCUGAUAUGAGCUAUGUGCAUCGAGACCUGGCUGCCAGGAACAUUCUGGUAAACAGCAACUUGGUCUGCAAGGUGUCUGAUUUCGGCAUGUCCAGGGUGCUUGAGGAUGACCCGGAAGCAGCCUAUACUACCAGGGUAAGCACCACUUGCCACUGCUGGCCUGGCAUUCUCUCUGAUGAAACUGAUCCUCUCUUGUCAUUUUGAGGUUGGAACACUUCCUACUUUUUUUUUUCUUCAAGUUUACUUAUCCUUCAGGCCCUCUCCAUUUUUAAAGCAUGACUUUAAAAAAUUAAAAAAAAAAAAAA